rnacentral:rRNA from 1 species
CAUGCAGUCGAGGGGCAGCAUCAUCAAAGCUUGCUUUGAUGGAUGGCGACCGGCGCACGGGUGAGUAACACGUAUCCAACCUGCCGACAACACUGGGAUAGCCUUUCGAAAGAAAGAUUAAUACCGGAUGGUAUAGUUUUCCCGCAUGGGAUGAUUAUUAAAGAAUUUCGGUUGUCGAUGGGGAUGCGUUCCAUUAGGCAGUUGGCGGGGUAACGGCCCACCAAACCUACGAUGGAUAGGGGUUCUGAGAGGAAGGUCCCCCACAUUGGAACUGAGACACGGUCCAAACUCCUACGGGAGGCAGCAGUGAGGAAUAUUGGUCAAUGGACGAGAGUCUGAACCAGCCAAGUAGCGUGAAGGAUGACUGCCCUAUGGGUUGUAAACUUCUUUUAUACGGGAAUAAAGUGAGCCACGUGUGGCUUUUUGUAUGUACCGUAUGAAUAAGGAUCGGCUAACUCCGUGCCAGCAGCCGCGGUAAUACGGAGGAUCCGAGCGUUAUCCGGAUUUAUUGGGUUUAAAGGGAGCGUAGGCGGGUUGUUAAGUCAGUUGUGAAAGUUUGCGGCUCAACCGUAAAAUUGCAGUUGAUACUGGCGACCUUGAGUGCAACAGAGGUAGGCGGAAUUCGUGGUGUAGCGGUGAAAUGCUUAGAUAUCACGAAGAACUCCGAUUGCGAAGGCAGCUUACUGGAUUGUAAC